GAUGAUGCCCUUCGGUUGCCGCGCGCGCUGGCGGCCUUCAAUUAAUGCCGGCGUUUCGGCCACCUUCAACAGCGUCUCUUGCGGUUGCCGGAGGGUUUUAUGCAACUUUCAGUAAAGAGAUGCUGUUUCAAGAAUUCCUCUCUGGCUGAUGCUGACCAAGGACAACAGAAUAUGCAGGGGCUCUUCAGACUGAGAUCCAAUAUUUAAACAACUGAAUUUCCAAGAAUAUCAAGAUGUUUUAAAAAACCCAACAAGUCUCUGUCUAUGAGAACCCAGGGGAUUUUUGCUACACUUGAACCUGCGACUGCUUUUCCAACUUUCCUAAUCCCAAGGCAAGAUUGUACAACCAGAUUCUUUGUUCAUCUCCAGGUAUGCUCCCUCCUUCCAGCAGAAAAUUAUGGAUUUGAAACGUUCCACCAAGAAAGAAAGAAAAUCUAUCGGCAGUGAACAAACAUGCUCUGCCCAGCCUUUGCAAACAAGUGGCAGACCUUCCGUAAUGAGCAUGCUGUGAUCCCUGCCAGUUUAGCAAAAAGCUGAGAGCUGUAAAUGUCUCAGUUAAAGAGUGGCUGGGUGUUUCUUUCUUUCUUUCUUUUUUACUGUCUGUGAUUUGAUCUGUGUAGUACCAGUUUCUGUUUUUAAUUGUAAUAUCACUAAAGCUCUUGUCCUGUAAAAAUGUUUGAAGAAGAGUGUCCAUGAAGAAAAGAGAGGCACAACAGAUUACACCAAACUGUGGCUCCUUGUGGAUCAUCAUUCAUUGCUAGGCAUGUAGGCCAAAAAACGAAGCAAAAAACCAAACACACAACAACACAUAUGAAACAUUCUGGAACCAUCUAUGCUAAUUUUUUAAAAACAAAAAAACAACAACCUGGAAAUUUGAUGUUCUAAAUAUGUAUUUUCUGAACAUAAAUAUCAUAAAUAAAAGGUUAAAUACUGAGA